GUGAGGUAUUCCAUAGACUGUAAGAAAAUAGUCUGUGAAGAAAAUAGAGUGUGAGUAAUAUUGUAGUGAGGUGGGAAAAUCAAAAGAGUGUUAUUUCUUUUGAGGGUGUAGUGGUCUUAGGAGUAUUUGUACUCGUUACUACACAGUGUAAAAUUCCUUACUAUAGUUAUAUCAGCUGCUCCUCUUGGCCGUGGUUUUUUCCUUAUUCAGAAGGGUUUCCACGUAAAAUCUUGGUGUCAUUAUUGCUGCAAUUUAUUCUUGCUGAUUUAGCCAUAAUUUAGUGUUCCACGUUUAUCACUAAUACCGUGAAUAUUAUUUUUGCGGGUCUAUUUUAUUCCCAACACGACGGCUUCAAACAGGCCAAGACCAUCUUUCUCAUCCAAAUGUUGAAACCCACCGCGAUGCUAAUCAUGCUAUGUUCAACCUGGAUUUAGCUUGUGAUGAAUUCCACUUCUAAUUUUGUUAGCAAUGAACUUUGUUUUUCUGGAACUGUGGAUUUUGCACCAGUUUAUCAGAUUUUGGGUCUUAUAGUUGGACAGAUAGAAAUUGUUCUGUGAAGAAUUCUCCAAAUUGGAGCUAUGUUGCUUUGUUUUUUAACCUAUUAUUCUAGUUAUUUGAGGGUUUUUUGUCCAUGUGCCUUUGUAUUUAGUAGUGCAAAUUGUUUUGUUCAGAAUUCUCUAAAGUACUUUUUCUAUAGAA